rnacentral:tRNA from 1 species
UCCCUGGCGGUCCAGUAAUUAGGACUCAGCCCUUCCAAUGCUGUGGCCCAGGUUCAGUCCCUGAUCGGGGAA